GACGAACGCUGGCGGCGUGCUUAACACAUGCAAGUCGAACGGAAAGGCCCUGCUUUUGUGGGGUGCUCGAGUGGCGAACGGGUGAGUAACACGUGAGUAACCUGCCCUUGACUUUGGGAUAACUUCAGGAAACUGGGGCUAAUACCGGAUAGGAGCUCCUGCUGCAUGGUGGGGGUUGGAAAGUUUCGGCGGUUGGGGAUGGACUCGCGGCUUAUCAGCUUGUUGGUGGGGUAGUGGCUUACCAAGGCUUUGACGGGUAGCCGGCCUGAGAGGGUGACCGGCCACAUUGGGACUGAGAUACGGCCCAGACUCCUACGGGAGGCAGCAGUGGGGAAUACUGCACAAUGGGCGGAAGCCUGAUGUAGCAACGCCGCGUGCGGGAUGACGGCCUUCGGGUUGUAAACUGCUUUCGCCUGUGACGAAGCGUGAGUGACGGUAAUGGGUAAAGAAGCACCGGCUAACUACGUGCCAGCGGCCGCGGUGAUACGUAGGGUGCGAGCGUUGUCCGGAUUUAUUGGGCGUAAAGGGCUCGUAGGUGGUUGAUCGCGUCGGAAGUGUAAUCUUGGGGCUUAACCCUGAGCGUGCUUUCGAUACGGGUUGACUUGAGGAAGGUAGGGGAGAAUGGAAUUCCUGGUGGAGCGGUGGAAUGCGCAGAUAUCAGGAGGAACACCAGUGGCGAAGGCGGUUCUCUGGGCCUUUCCUGACGCUGAGGAGCGAAAGCGUGGGGAGCGAACAGGCUUAGAUACCCUGGUAGUCCACGCUGUAAACGGUGGGUACUAGGUGUGGGGUCCAUUCCACGGGUUCCGUGCCGUAGCUAACGCUUUAAGUACCCCGCCUGGGGAGUACGGCCGCAAGGCUAAAACUCAAAGGAAUUGACGGGGCCCCGCACAAGCGGCGGAGCAUGCGGAUUAAUUCGAUGCAACGCGUAGAACCUUACCUGGGUUUGACAUGGAUCGGGAGUGCUCAGAGAUGGGUGUGCCUCUUUUGGGGUCGGUUCACAGGUGGUGCAUGGCUGUCGUCAGCUCGUGUCGUGAGAUGUUGGGUUAAGUCCCGCAACGAGCGCAACCCUUGUUCACUGUUGCCAGCACGUUAUGGUGGGGACUCAGUGGAGACCGCCGGGGUCAACUCGGAGGAAGGUGGGGAUGACGUCAAGUCAUCAUGCCCCUUAUGUCCAGGGCUUCACGCAUGCUACAAUGGCUGGUACAGAGAGUGGCGAGCCUGUGAGGGUGAGCGAAUCUCGGAAAGCCGGUCUCAGUUCGGAUUGGGGUCUGCAACUCGACCUCAUGAAGUCGGAGUCGCUAGUAAUCGCAGAUCAGCAACGCUGCGGUGAAUACGUUCCCGGGGCU
rnacentral:rRNA from 1 species